rnacentral:rRNA from 1 species
GAUGAACGCUGGCGGCGUGCCUAAUACAUGCAAGUCGAGCGAACAGACGAGGCGCUUGCUCCUCUGACGUUAGCGGCGGACGGGUGUGUAACACGUGGAUAACCUACCUAUAAGACUGGGAUAACUUCGGGAAACCGGAGCUAAUACCGGAUAAUAUAUUGAACCGCAUGGUUCAAUAGUGAAAGACGGUUUUGCUGUCACUUCUAGCUGGAUCUCGGCCGCAUUAGCUAGUUGGUAAGGUAACGGCUUACCAAGGCAACGAUGCGUAGCCGACCUGAGAGGGUGAUCGGCCACACUGGAACUGAGACACGGACCAGACUCCUACGGGAGGCAGCAGUAGGGAAUCUGCCGCAAUGGGCGAAAGCCUGACGGAGCAACGCCGCGUGAGUGAUGAAGGUCUUCGGAUCGUAAAACUCUGUUAUUAGGGAAGAACAAAUGUGUAAGUAACUAUGCACGGCUUGACGGUACCUAAUCAGAAAGCCACGGCUAACUACGUG